AGGUGCUUCAGGUGCUCCUCACCCAUCUCCAGCCCACUGCGGGCCUCCCCUGGCUGGGCCAGGACACCCUGCAGAGGAGUGCACAGACAGACGAGGCUUCAUAGUCUCUGCCAACCCCCUCCAGAACCGAUCUACCCCUGCCUCAAGCACCCAGAGGCUCCCACGCCGUGGCUGGAGGAGCCCACACUCACCUUGGGGCUCUCCUGGAAGGGCUCAGAGCUAAUCGUGCCGUCUGCUCCUCACUCCAUCUCAGCUUGUGCUCUGCCUGUCGGGAGCUGAGGGAGGAGCUGCUGUCUCCCCACGACACCAAACCAUGGGAGGAGAAGGCUCCUUGCCUGGGAGAGGCUGCUCCGGGUCUUCAGGCUGGUCCAGUGCUUCUGAGCAGUGAGGAAGGAGAGAUCAGGACAGCUUCUGUCUGCAGACACCUGAUGUUUCAGCUCCAACAGCAUGUCCUGCCCAGGAGAACAAGGCAGUAACACAGUCCCCUUCACUGUUCCUGCUUUUGCUGCUGGAAAGGAUAGGAAUGCUGGUGGCUCCACUGCCUGUGAUGUCAGGAGGGAGAGUGGCCGGAGUUGUCUCUGUACCUGUGAGGAUGCUGGAGCCAAAAGUGCCAGUGGGUCAGGAGAGAAGGGUCCCCACAGGGCGUCCUGCAGAGCUUCCCUGUGCAGGGCCAGGGUGCUCUGAGCCCAGCACCCCCUCCAGCCUGUGGGGAUGUGGAAAAGCAGACAGGGAAAGCCUCUCAGAAAGUCCCCUCAGCACUGCUCAAGGCCCCCGUCUCUGCGGUGAUGAGCAGCUGUGUGGUGGAUUUACACUGAGAGAUGGAAGAAAGGGAAACUGCUCUGACAUCUCCUUGCUCUCUGCACUGGUGGGUACUGAAAACUAGAAGUCUUUUCCCCCAGCCCACAGCUUUUGCUGCAUGAGGGCAAUAUUGCCUUCAGCACUGAUGAAGAUGUUAGACCUAAGGGAGGGUUAUGACUCUCUUGUGAUGCUGCAGCUACACUACACCCACCCUCUUAAUGAUGUAAAUCUUUCACAAAUCAAGGACAACCAUCUCAUUGGAGUGAAUGUAAGGACCUCUAUGGUCCAAGACCACCCUCCCAAGCAGGCACUAGGGAUGCUGUGGGUGCUCCCCAUCAGCUCAGGGAGCAGAGGCAGGAGGACUUCCCGUUGUCCUCACGAUGCAGCCCCAGGAGCUGCAGCACCAGGAGUCUCCCUUGAGUUGUACGACACCCACCAGUGUGAGUCAACAUGAACAUUAAUAACAAACAGAAAAAUCCUAGUGCUCCCUCCCCCGCCUUUCCCAAUGUGCUGUCGAGCAGGACGCGGGCUCACUUGGGAGUCACAGGGUUGGGGGUUGCGGCCAGGAGCUCGGGUCCUUUUCACCUGCCCCAUUACCUAGGGACGAUGCUGUUGGGAGCAGGCUGGGGGAUGCAGGUGGCACCUCAGCAGGGAGAUGUCCUUGGCCCAGACGGAGCUAGGGGACACCUGAGGGACUGUGGGAGCGCACUGCCAGCAUGCGAGCACCUGGAGAGAAGCACCGAGCGCUGCCUGCUCAGUCAUGCAGGUGGCUGAAUAAAAGAAAUAAAUAACCCAGCCGUGAAAAACAAGCACUGGCCAAAACCUUCCAAGAAGACGUCUGUACUUCCCAGCUGCAGUCCCCGUUCCCUGGCUCCGUUUACCCUCUGGGAACGACAGCAGGGAUGGCAGCUCCUGCAGCCCAGCAAAGAUGCAAACCUCUCCCUCCUCCAGCCCUCCAAGUGCUCCGCAAUGCCUUUCAUCAGCAGAAUAAUUAGAAAUCUAAUUCCUCUUUCUCCCGCUUAGCUAAUUGUCUGUGGACGAUUUGAUUGUAAGAGCGUCCAGUGAUGCAGAAUAACCAUCUUAUGUCUGCUAGACAUUGCCUUCACAAUUAGCACUACUGAUUGCAUUGCUCUGUUCUCUCACCUGCCGGGUCCCGGUGGAGCAGGGGAGCGGCUCUCACCUGGCUCUCAGGGUGACAAGGCCGUGCGCUCCCUUUCCCAGCACCAUCCCUCAGCUUGUCGUGUCCCAUCUGGAUGAGCUCUGCUCUCCAGCGUGGCUCCCGUGCCGCUCUCUGCUCCGCAGGGUGAACCCCACAACUCCCAGCCGGGACCCAGAAGGGUUCCCCCUAAACACCAGUGAGCUCUCACCAAGGAAUGAGCUUAUCCCUGCCUGCUGGGGGCUCGAAAUUCACAUUGAACAACCCCAAAAGGUUCUGCAAGAGGAGUCAAUUCUCUGAAUAGUUUGUUUGGAGGAAAGAAAAAAAAAAAAUCCCCCUCAAAAGAUCAAAACAUUUCAUUUCAGCAUUUUCAGAGUGAAAUGUUUUGAUUUUUUUUCCCCUCUUCCAAAUGACUUUGUUUCAAAGUUUCCCUUAAUUUCAUUUUUCUAAACAUCAAAAAAAUCUGCAAGAAAUGGCUGUGGUUGGAAGGAAAUGUGUUGGCAUGGUCACAACAAAACCUUUUGUUUAACACCUCCCCCUUCAAGAAUGCCCCUCCCCUCCUUGUUUUUUUUAUUUAAUUUAUUAGCAUUUCCAGGGAUUUUCACUUGCAGGCCAGCUCUGAAUUCCAUCUGGUUGUGCUUUCCCAGUCACGAAGGCGUCGCAGCUCUGUUGCUUUGCUCUACAGAGGGACAAAGCUCUCUUGAGGGCCUGCAGUCCCAGUCUGCCCACAGA